GUUAUUGUCAUUAAAUGAUAAUGUUUACCCUUUUAUGUGUAGGGCAAGGACAUUAAAGAUAAAGGGAAACUAUAAACAAAAGAAAUUAUCCACAAAAAUAGAUUUAUAGACGUCAACAAAGCCUUAAUGGUCAGACAUCUUGGUUUUCAUGAUCAUCAUUCAACAAGUCAAUACUGAACAGAAAACUUAAAGUUGAUAUUUUUCUACAUAGUGUGACUUUUUUAUUAAUUUGAAAUGGAAUAUGUUUUUUUCCUAUAUAAGAAAGAGGAAAUUUCAUCAUAAUGACUAUAAACAAAAAGGCGUCAUAACAUCAUGAUCAUAGAUGCACAAGAACUUAAUCAUGUAAAUGCAACAACGUAAUUAUCAAUUGAAAGAAGAGAGGAAUGAAAAAAUAUAUUAGUAUUUUGUUGUCCAAAUGAACUUGCUUUGUCCACUCAUUUAAAUCGCUCCAUCUUAUAAAGAUGUACGGAGGAAGAUUUUUGAAGAACAGAUUGCAAAAGAGGUUUUGUCUUAGAAUUGUAGGAAUAUUCUAGUGGAUGAAAUAAUUUAUUUACUUGACUCUUAUAUAGUGGACUGAAUAAUUGUACAUAGCAAGCUGAAACAAGAAAACUAAAACUUAACAGGAAAAGUGUUUAUUUUUAUAAAUUUGCAAAUAUAAACGUAAAAUUAUGAACACCACAACGGUAUAAGAUUCAAAUCGUUUGCAUAUUCAUGUAUUGCAAUGGAACUAUAACAAAGAAAACUUUAACUCAUGAAAAGAGUAAACUAUUAA